CCCAAGCGACGUUAACUUCCUCCUCGAUCGAGGAAGGAUUGGACAAAACCUUCUCAAGGAAACCCAACUUCUCCUCCAAAAUCUCGCCUCGACAAACACUCAUAACAUAGUCCCUCAUGGACGAGCACCGAUCCUAGAUCUUUUUAUCUAUAUUCAAGGGACUUAAGCUUCUCUUGUUUUCAUUAAAAGACAUCUCUGAGCCACCCAGAAUAGCUAGCCUCCCUCGAGAGAACUUAUGCUUUAGCCUGAAAGGCCACAACUUCAACAACUUUCUCCUUUAAAAGGGUUUGCAGUUGUAAUGAGUUUUAGAGACUGAUCAAUCCUUGUUUCUACGCUCUUGACUUUGUCAGCAACUUCUCAACUCUAAGGUUCAACUUAGCUAAAUUUUCUUACAUUGAUGCAGAGACUCCUUUUCUACAGAAGAACGAUCCUCUAAGUUGUGAACCUUUUUCUCUAGAGUAACGACCGUGUCUUUUAGUUACCCUUCCUUCACCUCCCCCUUUUCAAGAAAGAGCUUCACACAUGCAAAUAUAAGCAUGGUAUAUUUAGAUAAAAAGGGGUUAGGCUAAAGGAAUAAGCAAAAUUUACAAGAACUCGAUAGCAACUCACCUAUGACACAACCUUAAAAGUGGAUUUGAAAAGAGCCCGACUUCUUAGAGAGAUAAGCUCUCACUUUCUAUAUAAAGAAAUGAUCGGAUGGAUGAGGUUAUACGUCCCACUAGGGUCCCGUAGUUAUAGGAACCUGAAUUUUGGGUGGAAAACUUAGAAUUGCGGUUAUCUUGGAAUCGCCUUCAAUUAUCUCAUUAAUAUCAUCUGUGUGCAAUGUCUCCAUGCUAACUAUGGAUGGAUGAGAUACCACAGGUUGGGUUUACAAAGCGGAAGCUCCGGGAGCAUCCACUCGAGUCAUUUACCCCUUAGUUAAGAGAGUAAACUUGGUUGACCUUCUUUUCUUACUUGAGAUAAGGGAUCACACUGUCUUUCUUACUGGGCAUUAGCUUUAGAAGGCCUUUCCCAGCUUUUGCGGGCUACUGAUGAGUGGAUGAGCGGACCCCUUGGGUGUUAGAUAGAAGUUAAGCUAAUGCCCACAUGGUGAGACUUGCCUUGAUCCCUAAAGAAAAGGAAAUUAUAAAUAUAAGAUAGAUGUCUUCAAGGUGUGAAAUAAGGAAGUGUAGGUACCAUUGUCCUUGUAGAUCUACCAUUUCUUGUUGGAAAUAUAGUCUUAGGUGCGUUUCUUUGAACAUACCUACCCAAGAAUCCUUCAUAUCCAAGGGAGAAUUUAAUUUGGGGUGAAAAUUAAUAUUUGGCUACAAUAAGAUGUGGAUAUGAGGAGAACCAAAGUGUUGCUUUAUACGAAAAAAGAGAAAGAUGGACUUACAACAAUUUUGAGCUAAUAAAGAUGUACUUGUCCUACCACUAGCGGGAUGCUUUAUCUAGAUCCAAGAGCAUAUCCUUGAUACCUCAACACUUGACCGGGAAGAAGCUUUUCACAAAUUAUGCAAGGAGUGUAGAGGAUAAUGAAAUGCUCAUGAGAGAAGUUGAGGCAGAACAAAUGCAUAAUGACAUAGAUAUAAGAGAUUGCCCUCCAAACUAUUAGGGUCACGAAGACCAAAGAAAUACCGUAUAGUUCACACUGACAAAAGAUGAAUUGUAUGAUAGGCUAGUACCUAGACCCAUUGUGAAGGGGUAAAU
rnacentral:lncRNA from 1 species